UCCAAUCACGGACACUUUACCUCCGUCCAAUAGAGGGCGGUGUGGUCAUGUGAUGGCGCUGUGGGUCAUUAGUGAAUUUUGCUACGUGAAUUGGCAGUCUGAUUUGUUACUGAAAGGUGGACUUUUUGCUGUACUGGUGUCAAACACGUGUUUAAAAGGGUUUCUUCCUGCCUCUUAGCUCCUGGCUGAUGAAGGGCACAAGCUCUUACGGUGUUUAUUUUGGACAUUAAAAUCCCUGAUAAACAUCAGUUUCAAGAGAGUAAAGUGUAUCUGUUCAGCUGGAAGUUUAGUUACGGCCGGUGGUUUGUUCUGAAGGAGCUUGACGUCGUCCCUGAGAUGAUCGCAGACUCCAUAUUUCCCUACAGGCCUCUCUGAAGUCAACCAGCGUCCAUCUUUAUCUAGUCGUGCAAGACUGACCGUGUGUGUGUGAGUU